GGUCCGACCGGCUCCGGCACCGGCUGCUGCCCAUGUACAGCUACGACCCGGCCGAAGAGCCGCCGGAGUCGGAGCAGGAGCUGCUGGUGGAGGCUGAGGAGGCUCAGGUGGUGCCCGGCUGGGGGGGACCCUCACCCCCUCGUCCCCCACGCAGGGACUGGAGGGCCUGACUCUGCCUGGAGCACCGGGACCGGAUCCUGCCCGCGGGAGGGGAGAGACGAUGCUCUCGGCACUGGUACCAUCAGCCAGGACGUGGUGCCACAAUUCCACAGCCACUACCCCCACCUGAGCACUGACCAGGACCAGACAUCUCCCACCUCAGUGCCUGGUUUUCCUUUUUUUUUUUAAAAUUUUUUUCUUUCCUUUUCUUGGGACUUCUCCAGCAGCCCCUUGGAAAGCUCCAGGAGGGCCCACUGGGACUGGCAGGGAGCAGCAGGCUCUGCCGGCACGGGAUGCCUGGGGGAAGACAGGCUCAUCCCCGUGGAUGGAUGGUGGCCAUCACCAGCAGGGAUGUCCCUGUGGAGGAGAUGCCCUUGGAGGAGCCACCCCUGCCCAACCCCUC